CACGAUCACCAGGUACACAUUUCGAGGGGCAGCAGUAUUUUUUCACAGAUUGUGUGCUCCAGAGUUAGGAGCAUCACUAUCCAUCAAUGUGCCAACAAGGAUAAGACGGCAAGUAUCAGAAUGCUGGGGUUUAGGGUUAGGGUUCAGAGCCUUGAAAUUCAAGGCAAUGGACGAAAGUCAAAGUCAGGUGAAAGUUAUGAAUUAGAGUAAAAUUUGACUUGGCUGCAUAGUUCCAAGGUGUAAAGUUGGCUUGGGAGAGGAUAAUGAUAAUUACAGUGAUAAGAAAAUGUUAUAAUAGAUGGUAGAGUUUGUUUUAAUUGUAUGGAGAGCCUAAUUUUUUUUGUAAAGGUUGUAAACAGGCAUAGUUUUAAAUAUAAAUUUUCUUUAAGAAAUAAUUAUCUUGACACUUGGUGUAAAUGGAUUUGGAUCAAUCCCAACUCUCUAGCUGUGAAGAGAAUUCAUCAUUCAAUUUAUUAAUCUAAAAGUGGCUCCAAGUCCCAGUAGAAUACCGUCACAAGAAUGAACUCAAGUGGCAAUAUUAUGUUUGAGUUGCACAGCCUUCGAUUCUGUACAAGUGUAUCUCAUUUUAGAAACCUAUUAGCGCUAAAAAAUAUAUAUGUUAAUAUAUAUAUAUAUAUAUAUACAAUUUUUUUCAUCUCAAUUUAAAAUAUAAAAUAUCAUUGUAAUGUUUUUACAAUAUACACAGGUUUACAUUCUAUUGCAUUAAAUUAUAUCAAGUAUAUGUCUUUAAAAUUUCGAAAUAUUACAUUGAUAGUGAAAUUUUAUAAUUUAACAGAUUUAUAUGGAAAUAAAAUUGUACUUUUCAUUGACAUAAUUAUAUUACUAAUAAUAAACAUUCUUAAGAGAAUUAGAGCACAUUAAAUCAAACAAGUAAAAAAGGUGGACAGUGACAUAUGGUAUAAUGUUUGAAUAUAGAAAUUUAUAAAUUAUUUAUUAUGAAAAAAAGCUGAGAGUUACUUUGAAAGAGAUUUUAUUUUAUUUUAUUUUUAUAUAUUAUUUAAAUGGAUUUAGCAUAUGAUUCAUUGGGGUAGAAUAUCGUGAUAUAAUUUUGGAAAUAAAUAAGAACCAAUUUUUAAAAAUGAUAUAUCUAAGUUAUUUAAAGAAGUAAUUAGAUACUAUUAGGAAAUAUAAAAUUUUCUUGAUAACUUAAUUGUGACU
rnacentral:lncRNA from 1 species